AUUCGUUGGAUGAAUGUGAGGCAUUGGAUUGAUUUCGUUCAAUCCGAGCACCACAUUCAUCAAGGGUUCGU
rfam:Nicotiana attenuata strain TT chromosome 9, whole genome shotgun sequence.